AGACAACAAUGUGAACAUUUGGCGUUUUUGUUAUGCAUUUUCUUGCACUGUACAUUAUAUUAAGAGUCCAUUCAUCCAUUUUCUAUCCCGCUUGUCCUCACUAGGGUCACGGGUCAGUCGGAGCCUAUCCCAGCUGUCUUUGUUUUCCCGUUCUCGUCAAGCCGGUCCCUUGUCUCGACCAAUCGGCUUCCUCAGGUACGCUUGUCUUGUCCAGGUGCUGCUCGUCUCGCCAGUUUGCUUGUAUUUAGUUCUCUGCUUUAUUUUUGUCUUUGUCGGUUGAUUGCUUCUGUUUCUGUCAUAGUCAAAGUUCUCCGAGAGUGAAUGUUUUUUAGAGAUUCCUCCUGCUCCCCAGUCCUGCCCCCCUGCUUUCUUGCACUUGGGUACUCCAACGCCAGGAAAAAACAGCUUGUGACAGUAAGUGUAAAACGAAACUCGGCGUUGCAUUGUGUGUAUUGAAAGAUGUAUUUUAAAGACCUCCCAGUAGGGUGCAGUGCAACGCCACUGCAAAAA